AACGAACGCUGGCGGCAUGCCUAACACAUGCAAGUCGAACGAACCCUUCGGGGUUAGUGGCGCACGGGUGCGUAACGCGUGGGAAUCUGCCCUUUGCUUCGGAAUAACUCAGUGAAACUUGUGCUAAUACCGGUUGAUGUCUUCGGACCAAAGAUUUAUCGGCAAGGGAUGGGCCCUCGUAGGAUUAGGUAGUUGGUGGGGUAAAGGCAUACCAAGCCGACGAUCCUUAGCUGGUCUGAGAGGAUGAUCAGCCACACUGGGACUGAGACACGGCCCAGACUCCUACGGGAGGGGGCAGUGGGGAAUACUGGACACUGGGCGCAAGCCUGAUAAAGCCAUGCCGCGUGAGUGAUGAAGGGGCUCGGGUCGUAAAGCCCUUUUACCAGGGAUGAUAAUGACAGUACCUGGAGAAUAAGCACCGGCUAACUCCGUG
rnacentral:rRNA from 1 species